AUCACUGAUAUUAUGCUUUUUAGUUUUUAUGAAAUAACCAACAAUUGGGCUUAAAUGAACAAAAGAAAGCUAUGCUUAACAAAUAAAUGCUAUCAAUGAUUAAAGACCUUUAUAAUCAAAGCCAGUAGAGUAUGGUGCAGAUGCCAGGAUAAUUUAAUAUAACAAACAGAAUUCCUCUAAAUACCCAACACCAUAAUGAUUUGCUGCCUAGUAUAAUAUGCUUUUCUCUAUAAAAGAAUGGAUGUUGCCCCCAAAUGAGAAACUUAAGAGUGAUGUUUCAUGUGAGGGAAAACCACACGUUCUUAAAUCAUUAGCUUUUCCUUCUGUUGUGUAACCUACCUUUUUCUCCCUUAUAGGGUUGACUGAGCAUUAAAGAAUAGGAAGGAAGGCAAAAAUGCAAUCAACUUCAAAAAUCACUUUGGUACAGCACGGCAACGUGCAUCCAAUUAAAACAUAAUAAUUCUGUUUCCUUUAGUGCCUUUUCAUCAAGGAUUUCAAAGUCAAAUUUAUAAUUCCUCAAUUGUGCUUUGGACAUCUCAAAUUCUGAUUGCUGGCGAGUCUUUCCUCCUUCCCCCUUCCUAAUCUGCACUGAAAGUUCUAACUGAAUUUAUGGACGAUCAUUCUGCUUUCAAAUCUGUAAGACUUGGGUUCUCCUUCAUCUUCUUCUGCCUUUGUUCAGCUAGCUGAGUGACUAAAUAUGGCUAAUUGUGGUUUUAUUUCUUGUUGUUUGAGAGACAGAGAGUGCAGGAGAUGUGGAGAGAGAGAGAGAGAGAGAGAGAGAGAGAGAGAGAAUCCCAAGCAGGCUCUGCAUUGUCAGCAUGGAGCUGGAUGCGGGACUGGAACUCACAAACUGUGAGAUCAUGACCUCAGCGGAAAUCAAGAGUAAGACACUUAACCAACUGAGUCACCCAGGACAAGAAACCAGUCAAAAUCCUGGAAGAACUGCUCUCAGAUGGGGUUAACUUACUAUGAAGCAUGAUACAAGCAUCACAAGAGGAAAGCAGCUAUCAUGUAAAUCAACAGAAGUUUUACUUUGUGAAAACUUGUUCCCACCUUUAGAAAAUACAACACUAACAGCAAUGUUAAUGUUUGGGAUUCCAGAACAACACAUUCAUAUCAAUCUGUUUUCGUAGCUGUUGAAUUAACAAAUAUUCUACAAACCAGAGUAAGUAGCUUAUUUCAUUAUGUCUUCUAUAUGAGGUCAUACCCAAACAUUUUCAAACUGAAAUGUAUAUUGU